AUACGGAGGGUGCGAGCGUUAAUCGGAAUUACUGGGCGUAAAGCGUACGUAGGCGGUUGGUUAAGUUAGAUGUGAAAGCCCCGAGCUUAACCUGGGAACUGCAUUUAAAACUGGCGAACUAGAGUUGAGUAGAGGGGAGUGGAAUUUCAGGUGUAGCGGUGAAAUGCGUAGAGAUCUGAAGGAACACCAGUGGCGAAGGCGACUCCCUGGACUCGAACUGACGCUGAGGUACGAAAGCGUGGGUAGCAAACGGGAUUAGAAACCCCAGUAGUCC
rnacentral:rRNA from 1 species